GACGAACGCUGGCGGCAUGCCUAAUACAUGCAAGUCGAACGCUGAAGCACUCUGCUUGCAGAGUGCGGAUGAGUGGCGAACGGGUGAGUAACACGUGGGAAAUCUGCCUAGGAGUGGGGGAUAACAUUCGGAAACGGAUGCUAAUACCGCAUAAAACUGUAGAGUCGCAUGACUUUAUAGCCAAAGCUCCGGCGGUGUAUGAUGGAUCCGCGUCUGAUUAGGCAGUUGGCGGGGGUAACGGCCCACCAAACCGACGAUCAGUAGCCGACCUGAGAGGGUGACCGGCCACAUUGGGACUGAGACACGGCCCAGACUCCUACGGGAGGCAGCAGUGAGGAAUAUUGGUCAAUGGGCGAGAGCCUGAACCAGCCAAGUAGCGUGCAGGACGACGGCCCUAUGGGUUGUAAACUGCUUUUAUAUGGGGAUAAGUGAGUUACGUGUAGCUUAUUGCUAGGUACCAUAUGAAUAAGGACCGGC
rnacentral:rRNA from 1 species